UACGGAGGAUGCGAGCGUUAUCCGGAUUUAUUGGGUUUAAAGGGUGCGUAGGCGGAUUUUUAAGUCAGCGGUAAAAUGUCCGGGCUCAACCCGGGCCGGCCGUUGAAACUGGGGAUCUUGAGUGGGCGAGAAGUAUGCGGAAUGCGUGGUGUAGCGGUGAAAUGCAUAGAUAUCACGCAGGACUCCGAUUGUGAAGGCAGCGUACCGGCGCCCAACUGACGCUGAAGCACGAAGGCGUGGGUAUCGAACAGG
rnacentral:rRNA from 1 species